rnacentral:rRNA from 1 species
AGUGAACGCUGGCGGUAGGCCUAACACAUGCAAGUCGAACGGCAGCACAGUAAGAGCUUGCUCUUACGGGUGGCGAGUGGCGGACGGGUGAGGAAUACAUCGGAAUCUACUUUUUCGUGGGGGAUAACGUAGGGAAACUUACGCUAAUACCGCAUACGACCUACGGGUGAAAGCAGGGGAUCUUCGGACCUUGCGCGAUUGAAUGAGCCGCUGUCGGAUUAGCUAGUUGGCGGGGUAAAGGCCCACCAAGGCGACGAUCCGUAGCUGGUCUGAGAGGAUGAUCAGCCGCCUUAGAACUGAGACACGGUCCAGACUCCUACGGGAGGCAGCAGUGGGGAAUAUUGGACAAUGGGCGCAAGCCUGAUCCAGCCAUACCGCGUGGGUGAAGAAGGCCUUGGGGUUGGAAAGCCCUUUUGUUGGGAAAGAAAAGCAGCAGGUUAAUACCCCGCUGUUCUGACGGUACCCAAAGAAUAAGCACCGGCUAACUUCGUG